GGGCCGGUGAUGGAACUGGCAGACAUGCAGGUCUUAGAAGCCUGUCCCGCAAGGGGUGCGGGUUCAAGUCCCGCCCGGCCCA
rnacentral:tRNA from 1 species